GUUGGGUAGGGGAGCGUUCUGUAAGCCUGCGAAGGUGGCCUGUGAGGGUUGCUGGAGGUAUCAGAAGUGCGAAUGCUGACAUAAGUAACGAUAAAGCGGGUGAAAAGCCCGCUCGCCGGAAGACCAAGGGUUCCUGUCCAACGUUAAUCGGGGCAGGGUGAGUCGACCCCUAAGGCGAGGCCGAAAGGCGUAGUCGAUGGGAAACGGGUUAAUAUUCCCGUACUUGGUGUUACUGCGAAGGGGGGACGGAGAAGGCUAUGUUGGCCGGGCGACGGUUGUCCCGGUUUAAGCGUGUAGGCUGGUUUUCCAGGCAAAUCCGGAAAAUCAAGGCUGAGGCGUGACGACGAGGCACUACGGUGCUGAAGCAACAAAUGCCCUGCUUCCAGGAAAAGCCUCUAAGCAUCAGGUAACACGAAAUCGUACCCCAAACCGACACAGGUGGUCAGGUAGAGAAUACCAAGGCGCUUGAGAGAACUCGGGUGAAGGAACUAGGCAAAAUGGUGCCGUAACUUCGGGAGAAGGCACGCUGACAUGUAGGUGAAGUGAUUUACUCAUGGAGCUGAAGUCAGUCGAAGAUACCAGCUGGCUGCAACUGUUUAUUAAAAACACAGCACUGUGCAAACACGAAAGUGGACGUAUACGGUGUGACGCCUGCCCGGUGCCGGAAGGUUAAUUGAUGGGGUCAGCGCAAGCGAAGCUCCUGAUCGAAGCCCCGGUAAACGGCGGCCGUAACUAUAACGGUCCUAAGGUAGCGAAAUUCCUUGUCGGGUAAGUUCCGACCUGCACGAAUGGCGUAAUGAUGGCCAGGCUGUCUCCACCCGAGACUCAGUGAAAUUGAACUCGCUGUGAAGAUGCAGUGUACCCGCGGCAAGACGGAAAGACCCCGUGAACCUUUACUAUAGCUUGACACUGAACAUUGAGCCUUGAUGUGUAGGAUAGGUGGGAGGCUUUGAAGUGUGGACGCCAGUCUGCAUGGAGCCGACCUUGAAAUACCACCCUUUAAUGUUUGAUGUUCUAACGUGGACCCGUGAUCCGGGUUGCGGACAGUGUCUGGUGGGUAGUUUGACUGGGGCGGUCUCCUCCUAAAGAGUAACGGAGGAGCACGAAGGUUGGCUAAUCCUGGUCGGACAUCAGGAGGUUAGUGCAAUGGCAUAAGCCAGCUUGACUGCGAGCGUGACGGCGCGAGCAGGUGCGAAAGCAGGUCAUAGUGAUCCGGUGGUUCUGAAUGGAAGGGCCAUCGCUCAACGGAUAAAAGGUACUCCGGGGAUAACAGGCUGAUACCGCCCAAGAGUUCAUAUCGACGGCGGUGUUUGGCACCUCGAUGUCGGCUCAUCACAUCCUGGGGCUGAAGUAGGUCCCAAGGGUAUGGCUGUUCGCCAUUUAAAGUGGUACGCGAGCUGGGUUUAGAACGUCGUGAGACAGUUCGGUCCCUAUCUGCCGUGGGCGCUGGAGAACUGAGGGGGGCUGCUCCUAGUACGAGAGGACCGGAGUGGACGCAUCACUGGUGUUCGGGUUGUCAUGCCAAUGGCACUGCCCGGUAGCUAAAUGCGGAAGAGAUAAGUGCUGAAAGCAUCUAAGCACGAAACUUGCCCCGAGAUGAGUUCU
rnacentral:rRNA from 1 species